UACGUAGGCAGCAAGCGUUGUUCGGAGUUACUGGGCGUAAAGAGUGCGUAGGCGGUGUCGAAAGUUUGGCGUGAAAUCUCCCGGCUUAACUGGGAGGGUGCGCCGAAAACUGCGGUGCUGGAGUGUGGGAAAGGCAAGCGGAAUUCCUGGUGUAGCGGUGAAAUGCGUAGAUAUCAGGAGGAACACCAAUGGCGAAGGCAGCUCGCUGGGACGGUACUGACGCUGAGACGCGAAAGCGUGGGGAGCAAACAGG
rnacentral:rRNA from 1 species